rnacentral:tRNA from 1 species
GCCGACGUAGCUCAAUCGGCAGAGCAAUCGCCUUGUAAGCGAUAGGUUAGGGGUUCGAUUCCCCUCGUCGGCUC